GACGAACGCUGGCGGCGUGCUUAACACAUGCAAGUCGAACGGAAAGGCCUCUUUCGGGGGGUACUCGAGUGGCGAACGGGUGAGUAACACGUGAGUAACCUGCCCUUGACUUUGGGAUAACUUCAGGAAACUGGGGCUAAUACCGGAUAGGAGCUCCUGCUGCAUGGUGGGGGUUGGAAAGUUUCGGCGGUUGGGGAUGGACUCGCGGCUUAUCAGCUUGUUGGUGGGGUAGGGGCUUACCAAGGCUUUGACGGGUAGCCGGCCUGAGAGGGUGACCGGCCACAUUGGGACUGAGAUACGGCCCAGACUCCUACGGGAGGCAGCAGUGGGGAAUAUUGCACAAUGGGUGGAAGCCUGAUGCAGCAACGCCGUGUGCGGGAUGACGGCCUUCGGGUUGUAAACCGCUUUCGCUCAUGACGAAGCUUUGUGUGACGGUAGUGGGUAAAGAAGCACCGGCUAACUACGUG
rnacentral:rRNA from 1 species